AGCGAACGUUUGCGGCGGGCCUAACACAUGCAAGUCGAACGCACUAGCAAUAGUGAGUGGCGCACGGGUGCGUAACACGUGGGUAAUCAACCCUUCAGCUUGGGAUAACGACUUGAAAGGGUCGCUAAUACCGGAUACGGCGCGGGAGGCUUCGGCUUCUCACGAGAAAGCCUCGCAAGGGGUACUGAAGGACGAGCCUGCGGCCCAUCAGCUAGUUGGUGAGGUAAGAGCUCACCAAGGCUAAGACGGGUAGCUGGUCUGAGAGGAUGAUCAGCCACACUGGAACUGAGACACGGUCCAGACUCCUACGGGAGGCAGCAGUGGGGAAUAUUGCGCAAUGGGCGAAAGCCUGACGCAGCCACGCCGCGUGAGCGAUGAAGGCCUUCGGUCGUAAGACUCUGUGGGAGGAGACGAAGAAAGACCUGUGAAGAGCAGGCCGUUGACGGUAGUCUCCUUA
rnacentral:rRNA from 1 species